GAUGAACGCUGGCGGCGUGCUUAACACAUGCAAGUCGAGCGAGUGAGUUCUUCGGAACGAUCUAGCGGCGGACGGGUGAGUAACACGUGGGCAACCUGCCUCAUAGAGGGGAAUAGCCUCCCGAAAGGGAGAUUAAUACCGCAUAAAAUUAUCGAGUGGCAUCACACGGUAAUCAAAGGAGCAAUCCGCUAUGAGAUGGGCCCGCGGCGCAUUAGCUAGUUGGUGAGGUAAAGGCUCACCAAGGCGACGAUGCGUAGCCGACCUGAGAGGGUGAUCGGCCACAUUGGGACGGAGACACGGCCCAGACUCCUACGGGAGGCAGCAGUGGGGAAUAUUGCACAAUGGGGGAAACCCUGAUGCAGCAAGGCCGCGUGAGUGAUGAAGGUCUUCGGAUUGUAAAGCUCUGUCUUUGGGGACGAUACUGACGGUACCCAAGGAGGAAGCCACGGCUAACUACGUGCCAGCCGCCGCCGUAA
rnacentral:rRNA from 1 species